ACAAUGCGGAUUUGCGCUGUGAACUCCCCAAGCUGGAGAAGAGGCUCCGUGCUACUGCAGAGCGUGUCAAGGCCUUGGAGAGUGCGCUCAAAGAGGCCAAGGAGAAUGCCAUGAGGGACCGAAAGCGCUACCAGCAGGAAGUGGAUCGCAUCAAGGAGGCUGUGCGGGCCAAGAACAUGGCCAGGAGGGCACAUUCGGCUCAGAUCGCCAAGCCCAUCCGCCCAGGACACUAUCCUGCAUCAUCUCCAACAGCCGUCCAUGCCGUCCGGGGAGGAGGUGGAUCUUCAAACUCCACUCACUACCAGAAGUAAAUGCAGAAUCAGGAUGUCAAACCUUCAGCUACUUCUCCAGCAUCAUUUCUGCCUGCAUGCCACAACGUUCCUCACUAUGAUGGUAAUGGACUAACCUCUGCAUCUGUAAGCAAGCUCACAAUUAAAUACUUG
rnacentral:lncRNA from 1 species